rnacentral:rRNA from 1 species
GAGUAACACGUAGGAAACUACCUUUAAGACUGGGACAACCUGGAGAAAUUCAGGCUAAUACCGGAUGUGCUAGAAAUAGUAAAGGGGCAACCCGCUUAUAGAUGUGCCUGCGGCUGAUUAGCUAGUUGGUGGGGUAAAGGCCUACCAAGGCGACGAUCAGUAGCCGACUUGAGAGAGUGUACGGUCACACCGGAACUGAGACACGGUCCGGACUCCUACGGGAGGCAGCAGCUAAGAAUCUUCCGCAAUGGGCGAAAGCCUGACGGAGCGACACCGCGUGAUUGAUGAAUGCCGAGAGGUUGUAAAGAUCUUUUCCUAGUGAGGAUAAUGACGUUAACUAGGGAAUAAGCCCUGGCUAAUUACGUGCCAGCAGCCGCGGUAAUACGUAAGGGGCGAGCGUUGUUCGGAAUUAUUGGGCGUAAAGGGCGUGCAGGCGGUUUUGGAAGUCUGGAGUUAAAGACCACGGCUUAACUGUGGAGGUGCUUUGGAAACUUCAAAACUAGAAUAGAGCAGGGAGAGUCGGAAUUCCUAGUGUAGGGGUGGAAUCUGUUGAUAUUAGGAAGAACACCAGAGGCGAAGGCGGACUCUUGGGCUUAUAUUGACGCUCAGGCGCGAAAGCGUAGGUAGCAAACAGGCUUAGAUACCCUGGUAGUCUACGCUGUAAACGUUGCACACUUGGUGUUGGGUUUUUUUUAACUAAGUGCCGUAGCUAACGUGUUAAGUGUGCCGCCUGGGGAGUAUACUCGCAAG